GACAGAGGAGGCAAGCGUUGUUCGGAAUUAUUGGGCUUAAAGCGGGUGUAGGCGGCUGCGAAAGUGUGGUGUGAAAGCCCACGGCUUAACCGUGGAACGGCACCGCAUACUACGUAGCUUGAGGCCGGUAGAGGUGCCUGGAACUCUCGGUGGAGCGGUGAAAUGCGUAGAUAUCGAGAGGAACGCCAGAGGCGAAAGCGGGGCACUGGGCCGGUACUGACGCUGAGACCCGAAAGCGUGGGGAGCAAACAGGAUUAGAUACCCUGGUAGUCCACGCUGUAAACGAUGCACACUAGGCGUUGGAGUCUCUGAUGACGCCGGCGCCGGAGAAAAAUUGUUAAGUGUGCCGCCUGGGGAGUACGGCCGCAAGGCUAAA
rnacentral:rRNA from 1 species